GCCCUGAGUCAGCAUCAGUUGGAGCUUUAGUUGAUCUGAAACACGGUGCUCAAUGGAGUUUUGGAAAAUUAAUCAGCUUCCCUUUGUGAAUGCUUGCAUUUCCACACUUUCAUUUUAUGAACUUUCACACCCGUCUGUGGGGUUUUGAGGUUUGCUUCAUUCAGACCCAUAUUGGAAAGGCCCGAAUUCCUGUCACAGCCAGGAUUUUCUCCAGCUCCAGGGAUUUGUUUGGUUUUGUGCCAUUUUAUCUCAAGUUUUAUUCCUUCCAUCUGAUUCAAAUAUUUUGUUACCGACUCAUAGUUCUUCUUAAGAAAAAGAAAAAAAAGAUAGAAAAGAAGAAGCAAAACAGCACCUCUUUUAAAACAGGAAAUCGCUCUGGUUUGAAUUUCCUGUCGGAAUUUGGGCAGGUUGGUUGGCAACUGGUGAUCUGGACACAUGUCAGAUUUCAGGCUUUGGACUAUUUCAUGGAGUUAUGA
rnacentral:lncRNA from 1 species